GUGCCGUGCGCACAGCUGCGUGAACGUGGACUCCAUCCUCUCUUCAGUCCCGAACUCUGCUCAGGAAGCUGGGUUUGGGGGCCCCUUCCGGGGCACAAGCACCCCAUGAUAAGGACACCCAACUAAGAGGCACUGCUGACCAUGUACCAGCCACGUCCAGCGGUGGGUGCUCACAGACGCUUCUCGUCUUCAGCUUCGGGGGCUUCUGGGCACCUGGAGUGUAUUCUGUCGUCUCUUGCUUUUCUCACCUUGCCCAUGAGGGCACUGAGCAGAGGGCAGCUCCCUAAACCACGUGGCCUGUAGUUCCCUACAGAAGCCAGAUUCCUCCCAACUUGACUGCACAGCCUCUGUUCCUAAUCUCCAAACCUGCGUUUCUGGCUGAUGAACGCCUGGACGCACUGCUGCUGGACAGGAGCUCGGAGGUCUUCCUUGAAGACCAUGCUGUGGGAUCAUCACCACCCGCGGCUGCAAACUGCGGGGAAAGGGGCAUGGGAGCCUUGCAAGGGGACCAGCUCCCCCUGGCCCGGGCAGGAUAGGGCAGCCUCGGGUUCCACCCGGGUCAGAGCGCACAGGCAGUGUCGACUUCUCUCUGUGUCCUCUGCCACCAGGCCGGCUGGCGGAUACACCGGGAUCUUUCUUAGGCACUGCCAUAAGAAAUACUUCAUUUCACAUAGCUGAUCCAAUUAACAAAAGGAGACAAACAAAUUAAAAGGCAGUCCCCGAGGUGGCUUUGACUCCUGUGCCUCAGUGGAUAAACAACCUAAUUAGAACCGCCUGGCUGAGGAAGAAAGCAGCCUCCGCAGGAGGAGCGGGCUUUGAACAAGUAGUUCUUGUUUGGCGAGAGUCUGCCCAUGUCAUCUCAGAGCCAGGGCUGGGAGGAAACGCACUGAAAACUUUGGUUAGAGACGCAGAUGGUGACAGUGGAUACAUAGUCAAAACAGCUAUUGGAGGAAAUGGUGUGUGCUACUCAUCUGCUAAAAAUGGGAUCUUGGCUCCCAACAGGGACCUGGCGAGGUCUCCAGGACCCUUCUUCUGGCCAGCCGGCCCUGCGUUUCCCUACACUGACGGGCAGCGCUUAGAAGAAUUAGUGCUGCCCCGUGCCAGGGUCACCUGGCUUUUCUGCCACCUCAUUCCAGGGCCCUCUCCUCGCCCCUGGCUUCACACAGAAGUGUUUACCUGAUGCCGAGGAAGCGGACCCUUCUGGGUCUGCGCACCUUGACUACAAAAGAAACGACUUGUUUUCAUAUAAAUCAAAGCCAGGAAUACCUCUCUUACUAACAGCAGAACCAGAGUGAAAGCACAGUUUGUCUGAGAAUGAGGGAUGAGGGUGGCUUUUGGCUUAGCUCUAGAAACGUAUUGUCCAGGCCGUAUCUCAACUUCAAGGUAAUGGCUCUCAGCUGGGCGUGGUGGCGCAUACCUGUAAUCCCAGCUCUCUGGGUGGCUGAGGCAGGAGAAUCAAAGUUCAAACCCAGCCUGGGGAACCGAGUGACUUAUCAAGACUCCAUUGCAAAGUAAAAGUAAAAAGGGCUAGGGAUGUAGUUUAGUAUGAAGGCCCUCGGUUCAAUCACCAGUACAAAAAAAAGAGAUGGCUUUCUGCAACAAACCAAUCAAUAGAUUUAGAGCAACUCUACUUGAUAUUUUUUUGGCAGGGGCUUUGAGACAGGGCCU